ensembl:lncRNA
CCUUCUGACCUUGUAAUUAUUAGAAAUUUCAGCUUAAUGAACGUUAAAUAUGUUGAGCUCUCACUUGGAGGCCUUGCUGCCUUCUCCCCAACUCUGAUGUGCAGUUAAUAGCAUUGCAGAACAAGGACGUUUCUGUGAUGGCACCAAACCUGUGAAACAUGCAGGGAAAAGAUUUCCUCACUACUGCUUAAAUGGCAGAUCAAGAUGGCCGUCUUCCAGAAAACUGAGUGACUGAUUAAAACCUCAUGUUUCUAAUGCUCUGACCAUUGCGGUACUUCACACGGUGUCUUUAAAAUACACUUUUAAAAUUCUUUUUAAAAUAAGUUUUGCAAGGCCAUUUGGCGAUGCUUCUUAUAGACAGCAGUAACCUCAGCUGGAGUUCUGCUUGUCAAACAGGAUAUGAACCAGAGUGAAACAUACUUAUUCCUAGAUUCCGUUCCUUUGCAGAUUACUGCUUUCAUUCUAACAUUCCCAUACAAACCUGAGAGAUUAAGUUUUCCGGACAUCCUCCCCGGUGUGCAGAAGGAAGCUGUUCAGUCUUUGUUCUUAAGUGACAGACUGGAUUGGAGAUGGGAAAAAACAAUCGUCUUCUACCUAAGAUUUUCUGAAAAGACCCUGGAUUCCAUGGUCCUUUAACUGUGUUAAUUUAUGUAAGCACCUUUGGGAGCUUACUUCCCAGUAAAUGUGUUGUACAAGAUGGGAUAAUAUGUUCUGUUUUCAUUUCAGAAACCUGGUCCUGCUCUGUUUUGUUCUGUUUUUAAAUAGAAUGGGUAGCGUGUGAGGAAAACUAACAUGAUUAAAACUGGAUUUGGACACUGAGAAAGUUCCUGUAGGUAUUAAGUAUUAGCAGUAACAGCUGCUGCGGUUCCCAUUAGUGGAGGAGGCAAGGAUUUUUUUUUCUUUAAAGGAUGUUUGCAUGCCAUUCUGAAGGAGAAAAGUGCCGAGUAUCUGAAGGAACAUGUGCUCCAAGAUAAAGGAUGAGAUGGAAGUCCAGGCAAUGCUUGUUGUGUGGACAUUUAUAACCCUGUGCUUGGUUUCAUACACUGCAGCAUUUUCCCAUGGUGCCAGUCUUUCAGCAUGUACUGACAUGAGGCCGAAACAUAUCAGGGCUCAUCUUCAGAAUCCACAAAAUAACUAUAUUACCAUCCACACCAAUAUGUCCUUUUUUCCAGGUGACAAGGUACCAGGUAAAGAGUAAUUACAGUUUUUUUUUGGGGGGGGGCAAAUGCAGAGGGCUGUGUAUCAGUUUAUUUCAAGGUUAUAGACUAGCGUUUCUUACCUUUUUGCUCUCUAACCACAUUAUCCCAUCCUAGCGGGAUCUGUAGCCUAAUAGAACUAGGGGGAAACAAGGGUAAGGGAUGCCUGCUCUACAUCAUGCAUUGGCUGUGUCUUAAUCAUUCAUGCUAACGUUAGUACUGGGAAACAAGGUCUUCUGCUAUGGAAGAUAGCCUGCAUGUGUCAGAGUUCCCCUUGCUUUCCAAAUGUAGGAAAUCAGAACAGAAUGAGCUGAGGAGUGAAUAAAAGGUAAUGAGCAGCAGAGCUUUAACUAACU